rnacentral:rRNA from 1 species
UACGGAGGGUGCGAGCGUUGUUCGGAAUUAUUGGGCGUAAAGGGUUCGUAGGUUGGGCGGUAAGUCAAGUGUGAAAUCCCCGAGCUUAACUUGGGACGUGCACCUGAAACUGCUUUGCUUGAAUGUUGGAGAGGGUCGUAGAAUUGCUGGUGUAGGAGUGAAAUGCGUAGAUAUCAGGAGGAAUACCGAUGGCGAAGGCAGGUCUCUGGGCUGACACUGACGCUCAUGCACGAAAGCGUGGGGAGCAAACAGG